rnacentral:rRNA from 1 species
UACGAAGGGGGCAAGCGUUGUUCGGAAUUAUUGGGCGUAAAGGGAGCGUAGGCGGUUCGGCAAGUCUUUAGUGAAAUCUCUGGGCUCAACUCAGAGUCUGCUGGAGAAACUGCCGGGCUGGAGUAUGGGAGAGGUGAGUGGAAUUCCCGGUGUAGCGGUGAAAUGCGUAGAUAUCUGGAGGAACACCGGUGGCGAAGGCGACAUCCUGGACCGGUAUUGACGCUGAGGCGCGAAAGCCAGGGGAGCAAACGGG